AGUGAACGCUGGCGGCGUGCUUAACACAUGCAAGUCGAACGAGAACGGGUUAUAGCUUGCUAUAAUUGUCAGCUAAGUGGCGCACGGGUGAGUAAUGUAUAGGUAAUAUGCCUCUUACUAAUGGAUAACAAAUGGAAACGUUUGCUAAUACCUUAUACUCCUUAUUAACAGAAGUUAAUAAGGGAAAGAUUUAUUGGUAAGAGAUUAGCCUGUAUUGUAUCAGUUAGUUGGUGGGGUAAUGGCUUACCAAGACUAUAACACAUAACUGGUUUGAGAGGAUGAUCAGUCACACUGGAACUGAGACACGGUCCAGACUCAUACGGGAGGCAGCAGUGGGGAAUAUUGCACAAUGGACGAAAGUCUGAUGCAGCAACGCCGCGUGGAGGAUGACACAUUUCGGUGCGUAAACUCCUUUUAUAUGAGAAGAUAAUGACGGUAUUAUAUGAAUAAGCACCGGCUAACUCCGUGCCAGCAGCCGCGGUAA
rnacentral:rRNA from 1 species